rnacentral:rRNA from 1 species
AUGCAAGUCGAGGGGCAGCAUGGUCUUAGCUUGCUAAGGCCGAUGGCGACCGGCGCACGGGUGAGUAACACGUAUCCAACCUGCCGUCUACUCUUGGACAGCCUUCUGAAAGGAAGAUUAAUACAAGAUGGCAUCAUGAGUCCGCAUGUUCACAUGAUUAAAGGUAUUCCGGUAGACGAUGGGGAUGCGUUCCAUUAGAUAGUAGGCGGGGUAACGGCCCACCUAGUCUUCGAUGGAUAGGGGUUCUGAGAGGAAGGUCCCCCACAUUGGAACUGAGACACGGUCCAAACUCCUACGGGAGGCAGCAGUGAGGAAUAUUGGUCAAUGGGCGCAGGCCUGAACCAGCCAAGUAGCGUGAAGGAUGACUGCCCUAUGGGUUGUAAACUUCUUUUAUAAAGGAAUAAAGUCGGGUAUGUAUACCCGUUUGCAUGUACUUUAUGAAUAAGGAUCGGCUAACUCCGUGCCAGCAGCCGCGGUAAUACGGAGGAUCCGAGCGUUAUCCGGAUUUAUUGGGUUUAAAGGGAGCGUAGAUGGAUGUUUAAGUCAGUUGUGAAAGUUUGCGGCUCAACCGUAAAAUUGCAGUUGAUACUGGAUAUCUUGAGUGCAGUUGAGGCAGGCGGAAUUCGUGGUGUAGCGGUGAAAUGCUUAGAUAUCACGAAGAACUCCGAUUGCGAAGGCAGCC